rnacentral:rRNA from 1 species
AACGAACGCUAGCGGCAUGCCUCAAACAUGCAAGUCGUACGCGAACGGAGCUUCGGCUCUUAGUAGAGUGGCGCACGGGUGCGUAACACGUAACUAACGUACCCUCUCGCUGGGGAUAACUUCGGGAAACCGAAGCUAAUACCGAAUGAUCUGUAGCGGUCUGCGGACUGCUCCGGUAAAGCCUUCGGGCGCGAGAGGAUCGGGUUGCGUCCCAUUAGCUAGUUGGCGGGGUAACAGCCCACCAAGGCUACGAUGGGUAGCUGGUCUGAGAGGAUGAUCAGCCACACUGGAACUGAAACACGGUCCAGACUCCCACGGGAGGCAGCAGUUGGGAAUAUUGGACAAUGGGGGAAACCCUGAUCCAGCAAUGCCGCGUGAGUGAUGAAGGCCUUCGGGUCGUAAAGCUCUUUUAGCAGGGACGAAGGGCAACUUGACGGUACCUGCAGAAAAAGCACCGGCUAACUCUGUG